CUACAUAAUUUAUAAAAUUAAAAAAUAUAUUAAAAAUGAGCAAUACCAACGGAAAUCCUCCACGCAAAAAUUAUACUGAGAGAGAGAAAUGUUUGCUGUUGGAAAUAAUUGGAAAAUACAAGCAUAUUAUAAUUGAAAACAAAUAAUGUACCAAUGCUAUGUCCAACAAACCAAAACAAUGAAACCUUGGAAAAAAUAGCGUUGAAUUUCCCAGAACUCCCAAGCAGCUGAACACUGCAUAUAUAAACUUAAAAAGGGUCACUCACCAAAAAGUAGCAGAGGAAAAUAUUCAAAAAUAUAAUGAGCAGAAGGUUUUGGACCAGUUGAAGAGAGACCAAACUGCGGACAAA